UCCAGACUCCUACGGGAGGCAGCAGUGGGGGAUAUUGCACAAUGGGGGGAACCCUGAUGCAGCGACGCCGCGUGGGUGAAGAAGCGCCUCGGCGCGUAAAGCCCUGUCAGCAGGGAAGAAAAUGACGGUACCUGAAGAAGAAGCCCCGGCUAACUACGUGCCAGCAGCCGCGGUAAUACGUAGGGGGCAAGCGUUAUCCGGAUUUACUGGGUGUAAAGGGGGCGCAGACGGCGAUGCAAGCCAGGAGUGAAAGCCCGGGGCCCAACCCCGGGACUGCUCUUGGAACUGCGUGGCUGGAGUGCAGGAGGGGCAGGCGGAAUUCCUGGUGUAGCGGUGAAAUGCGUAGAUAUCACGCAGAACCCCGAUUGCGAAGGCAGCAUACCGGUGCACAACUGACGCUCAGGCACGAAAGCGUGGGUAUCGAACAGGAUUAGAUACCCCAGUA
rnacentral:rRNA from 1 species